rnacentral:tRNA from 1 species
GCCUUUGUGGUGUAAUGCUCGACGCGCAAUCGAGAGGUCCGAGGUUCGAGUCCCGGCGAGGGCA